rnacentral:misc_RNA from 1 species
GAGAUACCCCAGGGUCUCCCAAGCUUCUCCAUUCCUAAAGGAUUUGGGUAUGCAAAGUCUUUAAUCCCCACAGCAAUGCUUAUUACUGGUGUAGCCAUAUUGGAAUCUGUGGGGAUUGCAAAAGCUUUAGCGGCAAAGAAUGGUUAUGAACUGGAUUCAAAUCAGGAGUUGUUUGGCCUUGGUAUAGCAAAUAUCAUGGGCUCUUUUUUUUCAGCAUACCCUGCAACAGGUUCCUUUUCUAGGUCAGCCGUAAGUAAUGAAAGUGGGACAAAAACUGGCUUAUCUGGAAUUAUUACUGGCAUCAUCAUGGGCUGUGCUCUUCUAUUCUUGACUCCAUUAUUUGAAUACAUUCCCCUGUGUUCUCUGGCUGCAAUAGUAAUCUCUGCUGUGAUGGGCCUGGUGGAUUAUGAAGAGGCCAUCUUCUUAUGGCGUGUAGAUAAGAAAGAUUUUCUUCUAUGGACCAUUACUAGUGCUACAACAUUGUUCCUUGGCAUUGAGAUUGGUGUCCUUGUUGGGGUUGGUGUGUCAAUUGCUUUUGUUAUCCAUGAAUCAGCGAAUCCACACAUUGCUGUAUUGGGCCGUCUUCCUGGUACCACUGUUUACAGAAACAUCCAACAGUAUCCAGAAGCAUAUACUUACAAUGGAAUUGUGAUGGUUCGCAUUGAUGCACCAAUCUAUUUUGCCAAUAUAAGUUACAUAAAAGACAGACUAAGGGAAUAUGAACUCGAUGUUGACAAAUCUACCAGACAUGGACCAGAAGUUGAAAGAAUUUAUUUUGUGAUUUUGGAGAUGUCACCUGUUACAUAUAUAGACUCCAGUGCUGUACAAGCUUUGAAAGACUUGCAUCAGGAGUAUAAAUCACGGGAUAUCCAGAUUGCUAUUUCCAAUCCCAACAGAGAAGUUUUGUUGACCUUAUCAAAAGCUGGUCUUGUAGAGCUCAUCGGCAAGGAAUGGUACUUUGUGAGAAUGCAUGAUGCUGUUCAAGUUUGCCUUCAGCAUGUUCAAAGCAUAAGCCAAGAACCCAGGCACCCGGAUUUAUUACCUGUCGAUAAGCCAGGUUUCUUCCAACGGUUAUUGAAACAAAGAGAGGAGGAUUUAUCAGUUGCGAAGUUGGAGUCAGGCAAUAAUUCUGACUCUCAACUGGAGCCAUUGUUGUCUCGGAAGUCAUGAAAUUGACUUAUUUUUUCAACAAAUAAACUACUGCCCAUUUUUAUCAAGGCAACCGCUUAUACAUAUUUGCAAGGUUUGAUUAUUUU